rnacentral:ncRNA from 2 species
UGGCCUCAGAUCAGGGAGGAUCACCCGC